rnacentral:rRNA from 1 species
GACAGAGGGGGCAAGCGUCGCUCGGAAUUACUGGGCGUAAAGGGCGCGUAGGCGGGAUGGCAAGUCGGUCGUGAAAUCCCUCGGCUCAACCGAGGAACGUCGAUCGAUACUGCUGUUCUUGAGGAUUGCAGAGGAGACUGGAAUUCCCGGUGUAGCGGUGAAAUGUGUAGAGAUCGGGAGGAACACCGGUGGCGAAGGCGGGUCUCUGGACCGAGACUGACGCUGAGGCGCGAAAGCGUGGGGAGCAAACAGG